AGCAGAGAAGGGGUUGAACCAACAUCAAAAAACUCAAAAUUUUACGCAUUUCUUUUAUGCUACCUACUA
rnacentral:tRNA from 1 species